rnacentral:pre_miRNA from 1 species
CUUGUACUCCCUCUGUCCGAAAAUACUUGUCAUUGAAAUGGAUGUAUCUAGAUAUAUUUUAGUUCUAGACACAUCCAUUUUGAUGACAAGUAAUUCCGGACGAAGGGAGUACUUG